UUGCUUAUGUUGGUGUUGCGCACGCGUC
rnacentral:piRNA from 1 species